UACGGAGGGUGCAAGCGUUAUCCUGAAUCACUGGGAUUAAAGGGUGCGUAGGCGGCUUAGUAAGUCAGGAGUGAAAGCCUGCGGCUUAACCGUAGAAAUGCUUUUGAUACUGCUGAGCUUGAAUUAGGUUGAGGUUGGCGGAAUGUGACAUGUAGCGGUGAAAUGCAUAGAUAUGUCAUAGAACACCAAUUGCGAAGGCAGCUGACUAGACCUUAAUUGACGCUGAGGCACGAAAGCGCGGGGAGCGAACAGG
rnacentral:rRNA from 1 species